rnacentral:rRNA from 1 species
UACGUAGGGUGCAAGCGUUGUCCGGAAUUAUUGGGCGUAAAGAGCUUGUAGGCGGUUUGUCGCGUCUGCUGUGAAAUUUCGGGGCUCAACCCCGAACUUGCAGUGGGUACGGGCAGACUAGAGUGUGGUAGGGGAGACUGGAAUUCCUGGUGUAGCGGUGAAAUGCGCAGAUAUCAGGAGGAACACCGAUGGCGAAGGCAGUUAGCUGGGCAGUUGCUGACACUGAUGCGCGACAGCGUGGGGAGCAAACAGG